UGCGGGAUCGUCCAAUGGUAGGACGCAUGGCUCUGGAUCAUGUUAUCGGGGUUCGAAUCCCUGUCCCGCAGCCA
rnacentral:tRNA from 1 species